AGUAAAAGUCGUAACAAGGUCUCCGUUGGUGAACCAGCGGAGGGAUCAUUACAGAGUUGCAAAACUCCCACAAACCAUCGCGAAUCUUACCCGUACGGUUGCCUCGGCGCUGGCGGUCCGGAAAGGCCCUCGGGUCCUCCCGGAUCCUCGGGUCUCCCGCUCGCGGGAGGCUGCCCGCCGGAGUGCCGAAACUAAACUCUUGAUAUUUUAUGUCUCUCUGAGUAAACUUUUAAAUAAGUCAAAACUUUCAACAACGGAUCUCUUGGUUCUGGCAUCGAUGAAGAACGCAGCGAAAUGCGAUAAGUAAUGUGAAUUGCAGAAUUCAGUGAAUCAUCGAAUCUUUGAACGCACAUUGCGCUCGCCAGUAUUCUGGCGAGCAUGCCUGUUCGAGCGUCAUUUCAACCAUCAAGCUCUGCUUGCGUUGGGGAUCCGCGGCUGCCCGCGGUCCCUCAAAAUCAGUGGCGGGCUCGCUAGUCACACCGAGCGUAGUAACUCUACAUCGCUAUGGUCGUGCGGCGGGUUCUUGCCGUAAAACCCCCCAUUUCUAAGGUUGACCUCGGAUCAGGUAGGAAUACCCGCUGAACUUAAGCAUAUCAAUAAGCGGAGGA
rnacentral:rRNA from 1 species